CGUAUAUUAAAGUUGUUGCAGUUAAAAAGCUCGUAGUUGGAUUUGUGGUUUGUUGCAUGGUCCCAACUUUUGUUGGGUGCUGUUGCGACGAGCCAUCCUUGGGUGGAAUCUGUGUGGCAUUAGGUUGUCGCGCAGGGGAUGCCCAUCGUUUACUGUGAAAAAAUUAGAGUGUUCAAAGCAGGCUUAUGCCGUUGAAUAUAUUAGCAUGGAAUAAUGAGAUAGGACCUUGGUACUAUUUUGUUGGUUUGCGCACCGAGGUAAUGAUUAAUAGGGACAGUUGGGGG
rnacentral:rRNA from 1 species